UCCUGGUUGGCUCAGUUGGUAAAGCGCUCCACUGGAAAUGGAGAGGUCCCAGGUUCGGUACAGGACCAGGCG
rnacentral:tRNA from 1 species